UCAAAGAUUAAGCCAUGCAUGUCUAAGUAUAAGCAACUUGUACUGUGAAACUGCGAAUGGCUCAUUAAAUCAGUUAUCGUUUAUUUGAUAGUACCUUACUACAUGGAUACCUGAGGUAAUUCUAGAGCUAAUACAUGCUAAAAACCCCGACUUCAGGAAGGGGUGUAUCUAUUAGAUAAAAAACCAACGCCCUUCGGGGCUCCUUGGUGAAUCAUAAUAACUUAACGAAUCGCAUGGCCUUGCGCCGGCGAUGGUUCAUUCAAAUUUCUGCCCUAUCAACUUUCGAUGGUAGGAUAGUGGCCUACCAUGGUGGCAACGGGUAACGGGGAAUUAGGGUUCGAUUCCGGAGAGGGAGCCUGAGAAACGGCUACCACAUCCAAGGAAGGCAGCAGGCGCGCAAAUUACCCAACCCCGAUACGGGGAGGUAGUGACGAUAAAUACUGAUACGGGGCUCUUUUGGGUCUCGUAAUUGGAAUGAGAACAAUUUAAAUCCCUUAACGAGGAACAAUUGGAGGGCAAG
rnacentral:rRNA from 1 species